CUAAAUACCUUGUUGAAAAAUUAAAAAUAUUUAUAAAAUAAUAUUUAUAAUGAGAUGAAGAGAAUACCAUAAUACUUUUGCAAUGAGUCCUUUUUAAACUUUGGUAUCAUGGUCAAAGAAAAGUUAAAGAAAAAUUUACUUGUAGCCUUAUAAUUUUACGUUAAAUCCUAUAUUUUAUUUUUCUCUCAUUUUUAAAGAGAUAUGGUGAAUAGGGAAAUACAUACGAAGAUAUUUAAAAUUCAAUAUGCAUUUUUAUCGGAUCACUUUCACUUGAUUGAUCUGAUUUGUUAUAUCUACCGGAUUAUUAAGAAACAAUUGUUCUGGUUUGCACUCUUCUUCGGAUCACUUUUAAUGGUGCAACGUAGAGGACGACAACAUGAUUAUUCAACGUGGAGGAAAAUAUUUCAAAGCUCACCGGGCAACAAAUGCUCAACAGGAGAAACAACCAUCAACUCAAGAGCAAGAACAUAACUUUUUACUCUUCUCACUAAGUAUGAACAUCAGGCUGCUUCUAGAUUAUGACAUGUGACAUUAAACUUAAUUAAGAUUUAAAUGCACUUUUAAUUUUU